rnacentral:rRNA from 1 species
GUGUCAGCAGCCGCGGUAAUACAGAGGUCCCAAGCGUUGUUCGGAUUCACUGGGCGUAAAGGGUGCGUAGGCGGUCGGGUAAGUCUGAUGUGAAAUCUCACAGCUUAACUGUGAAACUGCAUUGGAUACUAUCCGGCUCGAGGAAUGGAGGGGAGACUGGAAUACUUGGUGUAGCAGUGAAAUGCGUAGAUAUCAAGUGGAACACCAGUGGCGAAGGCGAGUCUCUGGACAUUUCCUGACGCUGAGGCACGAAAGCCAGGGGAGCAAACGGGAUUAGAUACCCUGGUAGUCC